UGGCUCAGUGGUAGAGCGCAUGCUUUGCAUGUAUGAGGUCUUGCUUGGGUUCAAUCCCCAG
rnacentral:tRNA from 1 species